CGUGGACUUGCGAAUGUGGGCAAUAGAGACAAGACUGAACGUAGCCGGAGGCGGAGCCAGGAUCCUCGGGGCACAGGCGGUGCAUGGAGACCCAUAAAUGGAGAAACUGAGGCCUGGGCCAGGCAGGCUCACACCCUGAUGGGCAGCCUGUACAUCAACGGUCCCUCCACCCCCAGGAGGAAUUGCCCCUUUUCAAUAUCACUUCUCUGCAAGAUGUCGGAGCCAUGGGGUCAAACGUGCCAAGGACGUUCCUGCAGGCUUCGC
rnacentral:lncRNA from 1 species